ensembl:lncRNA
UGUCCUUAUCUCAACCCUUGAGCCCUUUUUCAGUUUUCAGGGGCUUUCAGUGGGACUAGCUUUCUGAGAAGCCCCUUCCCUUCUCCUCCACUUCCCCCCUUUUUUUCUUUUCUUCUCUCUUCUCUCUUUUUUUUUCUUUUUUUUUUUAUUUAAAUGUUUGCUACCACAGCCUGCCUCUCUGAGCCAGAACUAACUUAAGGUGUGUCAGGUGCUGAGUGGUGCCUUAAUUGAUUGUAAUUGAUUAUGUUGGCAUCAGAUUGCUGCUGGAUCCUGAUCUUGGUAGCUGUCUCCUGCUGUGCUGACAUGGGCUGGCCCUGGUUUACAGCUUUGCUGUGUCAUAGGACCUGUUGGCCGCAACCAGCGUUGCCCAAACUCUCCAGAUCCAUUUGGACUGCUCUCUGCUGUUGGCAGCGGGAUCCCAUGAGCUUCAGUGAAAGGCACCUGUCGCUGAACUGCUCAGCAAAUGAGACUUCGUUCUGUUGGAGGUGGAGGUGUUUAACAGCAUGUCCACUGGCUCUUGCCUUAAAAUGCAUCUGGAAGCUCUUCAGUGCUGUGGUGGUUUGUGUGUUUGCUUAUUUAUUUUCUUUCACAUACUGUUAAGGUAGGGGUCUGAAAAACAAGGUUUUGUCCUGAAAUUAGUGUUCUUUGGUAGCAAAAAUAAUUACUAAUGCCAACUUCUUUUCUUCCUUGGGUUGUGUUAUGGAACUCAGCCUAGUAAGUUUGUCUUAGUGUUAAUGUAGGCUGUUUUUUUUUUUUUUCCCCAACAUUUGAAAAACAAGCUGUGUAAGCUCUUGACUUGGGGAGUAGUGAAACAGGAUUUAAUGAAAUGUGUUGAGAUGUUCUUUGCUUGGUGUUUAGUUAUGGUUGCUGAGACACUGCUUCCAAAAACAAUACUUCAGGGAUGUCCCAAAAAAUGGCAUGCUGGAGGAGCGACAGCAAAAUAAUUUGUCAAAGAUGUAUGAAAAUCUGUUAUAUUGAUGUCAUACAUACACAACAGCAUCAUAUGUACUUAACAAACCGAGAGAGGAGGUAAGUACAAUAACUGCUGUUAAUAUAAAACUGACUUAAAUCGUGUAUCAUCAACUAAGAUGGUAGGUGGCACCAGUACCUCUGAUGUUCCCAUGAAGCUUUAAUAACAGUCCGAGUCUGAAUCCCCCUUUAGCAGCUUCUUUGUGCUGCAAAUGGUUGUGUUGGUGGUUCUGAAGUUGCCCUAAACUGCAGGGCUUUUAGCUUUAUAGGCUGUACUAAUUAGAGCCAUAGAACUGCUGUUCAUUCUUCAUGGCAUGGCUUUGUUUCUUAUCUCUGGACGUUUACAGGUUGUUUUUGAAAACAAAUGUUAAUCUUAGUGUUUUCCAGCAGCUAUAUGAAGAGAUAAUGAAGAAGCUAACAGAAUUGAAUGAAUUAUUUAAACAGUUAUACUGGUUCUGCAUGCAUAUUUACUUCAUUCAAUGUUAUGUGGUGUUAUCAGUGUUAAGCUUUACCAAGACAUAGUAAUUAUCAGUAAGAGGAAAUGUUUUUAACUAGGGAUUGAUGUCAGAGUGUUUGGAUUAAGCACAUGCAAUAUUGAUAUGAAAUAACUUUUUCUAAUGAGCUUUUUCUGAAAUCAGUUUAUCUGCAGAAAAGUUAAAAUUGUUAAUAAUGAUCAGCUUUUUAAAGCAGAAUAGUCAUUAAUUUGUGCAAAUUAAGUUCUAAAAUCAAAAGCAAAUUCUUUUCAGAGUUGGAGCAUGAAACUGUCUUAUGCAGUCGAUAGCAGUGUUUUGUUUUUUUUUUUUUUUUAAAAAAAAGCAACUUCCAUUUGUAAAACAAAAAUUGAGAGUGCCUGGUCUCUCAUCAUACUCUUUCAAAUUCUUUAGCAAUCCAGUAACAUGGAGAUACUGGCUCUGAAGAGAGCUAUAAAUAAUUUGAGCAAUUCACUUUGCAGGAGGAACAACUUUAUGUACUGCUUUUUAAAAGUCUGUCUUCUAUCAUACUUCAUAAGCACAGGUGAAAAAAUCUGAAGAGCAAGCAGGUGAUAGUGUGAUACGGUUGCUGACUGUCAAGUGUAGGAACUCAUGGGAACUGUGCUCUGUAGUGAUGCAGUUUCUUUGAUCAACUGUUUUAACUACUCAGUUUCAAGAUUACAAUGAAUAUCUUGCAUGCAUUGUUUUUUGGGAUAUGUUUUAAAUUGUAUUUAAUGAGGAUGUACAUCUGGACUUGUUAUCUAACUACUAGUAUGCUGAUUCAAAACUGGUACUAAUUUUGAAGUAGAGCUUUGAUGUCUCCAUUCAAAAGGGAGUGUUUAAGAUUGCAUGAUAGCUGCUUUUCUGUCAUGCUUGACAACACAGAGGACCUAGAUCUCAAUUCCUACACUUUUGUAUUGCUGCCUGAAAAGCUUUCAGGUUAUUAAAGUGUCCUUUACUAAGUAUCUUUGGAGGGGGAGAAAUUCUGCAAUAAGCGGUUACAAAACAACUUUACCUGGAGAAGAUUUCUCUCCUGAACCCUAAUAUUUUAUUCACCUAUCCUAACUUUUUUCCCUAUUGAAUGGUUUUCAUUAGACCUACUAUUUAUAAGCAGAAACUAUCUUUCAUUUAGCAUGUAACCUGCAGUUGCCUUUUGAAGUGUCAGGAUUUUUCUUUACAGGUGUGGUGGUUUUACUCUGGUGGGCAGCCGAGCUCCACCACAACUGCUCUCUCACUCCCCCUCCUCAAAGGGAGAGGGGGAGAAAAUACAAUGAAAAGGGCUCAAGGGUUGAGAUAAGGACAAGGAGAUUGCACAGUAAUUAUCGUGACAGGCAAAACAGACUCAGCAUAGGGAGAUAAUAGGCAAUAAAUCUUACUACUAACAAGCUAGAGAAGUGAGA